CGGCGGACGGGUGAGUAACGCGUGGGUGACCUGCCCCAUACCGGGGGAUAACAGCUGGAAACGGCUGCUAAUACCGCAUAAGCGCACAGAGCUGCAUGGCUCCGUGUGAAAAACUCCGGUGGUAUGGGAUGGGCCCGCGUCUGAUUAGGCAGUUGGCGGGGUAACGGCCCACCAAACCGACGAUCAGUAGCCGGCCUGAGAGGGCGACCGGCCACAUUGGGACUGAGACACGGCCCAA
rnacentral:rRNA from 1 species